rnacentral:lncRNA from 1 species
CCCCAUUUUCCACCCCAUUUUUCCCAAAUCCCCAUUUCUCUCCCCAUUUUUCCCAAAUUCCCCAUUUCUCUCCCCAUUUUUCCCCAAAUCCCCAUUUUCCACCCCAUUUUUCCCAAAUUCCCCAUUUCUCUCCCCUUUUUCCCCCCAGGUCUCUGCAGCAGCUCCGCUCUGGCCCCGCCCCCUUUGCCCCUCCCCCCCCUCUUCGCCCCUCCCCCCUCGCUGCCCCCAGACCCGACUACGGCUCCGUGCUGGCCCAGCAGCGCCCGGCCCUGCGCCAGCUCCGCCUCCUGGUGGACGAGGCGCAACAAGCCGGGAAAAUGCUGCUGGAAUUCCACCAGCAGAGCAGGAGCUUCCUCAGGGACCUCUCGGAGCAGCUGGCUUCCAGAACGUUCCAGAAGCUGCCAGGGUCCCCAGCCCGGAGGUUGCUGCAGAGGAGGCCCCAAAAGUCUCGGCCCGAGGAGGGCGAAUAAAAAAAAAAACCCAAAAUUUUCAGGUUUUGCCCCAAAAUGUUCCUGGGGUUGGGUUUGGGGCGUGGGCGGGCGGGGAUUGGUCGGGGUGGCUGUCAGUCAGAGGGAUCGGCCAAUCAGGGGCCGGCGGGGGGGGGGGUGGGGGUGGCAACAUCUGGAACGGGGACCCCGAAAUCUGGGCUGGGACCUCAACAUCUGGGCAGAGGCAGCAACAUCUGGAGGAGGGCGCCACGGUCAAGGUGAGGACCCCAACAUCUGGAUGGGAGACCCCCAGCGCUGGGAGGGUCCUGGUGGGACCCCAACAGCUGGAAUGGGGGAUCCAGAGGCUGAAGUGGGGACAUCAACAUCUGGAUGGGGACGUUGACAUCUGGACAGGGAGCCCAAGGCCAAGGCUGGCGCCCCCAACAUCUGGAUGAGGGCCUUGAAAUCGGGGGGACCCCAACAUCUGGAGGGGGACCCUUGGAGGGGUGGUGGGACCCCAAAAUCUGAGCAGAGACAUCAACAUCUGGAUGAGGACCCCGCGGUCCUGGUCGGGACCACAACAUCUGGAAGAGGCCCCAACAUCUGGAUGGGGACAUCAACAUCAGGAUGAAGACCUCAACAUCUGGACGGGGACCCCAAGGUCAGGGUUGGGACCCCCAACAUCUGGAAUGGGGACCCCAACAUCUGCACAGAGACCUCAACGUCUGGAUUGGGGACCCCAACAUCUGGAAUGGGGACCCAAACAUCUGGACCCGGGACACCACCCCCCCCCAAUCCUGGAUUGGGGACCCCAACAUCUGCACAGAGCCCACAUCUGGAUUGGGGAC